CGUACAAGCAGUGGGAGCACAGGUUUACCUGUGUGACUGCGUACCUUUUGUAUAAUGGGUCAGCGACUUAUAUUCUGUAGCAAGGUUAACCGAAUAGGGGAGCCGGAGGGAAACCGAGUCUUAACUGGGCGUUAAGUUGCAGGGUAUAGACCCGAAACCCGGUGAUCUAGCCAUGGGCAGGUUGAAGGUUGGGUAACACUAACUGGAGGACCGAACCGACUAAUGUUGAAAAAUUAGCGGAUGACCUGUGGCUGGGGGUGAAAGGCCAAUCAAACCGGGAGAUAGCUGGUUCUCCCCGAAAGCUAUUUAGGUAGCGCCUCGUGAAUUCAUCUCCGGGGGUAGAGCACUGUUUCGGCUAGGGGGCCAUCCCGGCUUACCAACCCGAUGCAAACUGCGAAUACCGGAGAAUGUUAUCACGGGAGACACACGGCGGGUGCUAACGUCCGUCGUGAAGAGGGAAACAACCCAGACCGCCAGCUAAGGUCCCAAAGUCAUGGUUAAGUGGGAAACGAUGUGGGAAGGCCCAGACAGCCAGGAUGUUGGCUUAGAAGCAGCCAUCAUUUAAAGAAAGCGUAAUAGCUCACUGGUCGAGUCGGCCUGCGCGGAAGAUGUAACGGGGCUAAACCAUGCACCGAAGCUGCGGCAGCGA
rnacentral:rRNA from 1 species